rnacentral:lncRNA from 1 species
CUAAAGUAAUUGAGUCAAUCGAAAAAAAAAAGAAAAAGAAAAAGAAAGAGAAGCUAAACUAAAAGAAUCGGAGUAUUAAAUGUUUGGAGUAUCUCCAAUGAGGAUCAAUAUCUAGCCAUCCACCUCACUAAAAAUAAUCGACUAAUCAGAAUACAAAUUAAGUAAAUGUUAUUUUCUAUUUAAAUAAUAGACUAUUUAUCUAUACUAUUAUUUGCGAAGUAAAUUUUUGGAAUCGAGCUCUCACGUUAAAAAGUUAGAUUGGUUAAUAUCGUUUACACCAUUAAUGAAUAAAAUGUAUAAUUAAAUUAAAAAAUAGAUACAAAAUUUUAAUUUAUUUGAUUAGAUAAUUGAUUACAAUUAAUAAUAGUAAGAAUUAUCCAUAAUCUGAAAAUAUAAUUUUAAAAAGAGAUAAUUUCUGUAAAUAUUGUAUUGUUAUCUGAAAAAGUCUUUUAAUAAAAAGUUAAAAAAUGAAUUAUAUAACUAAAUAAUAAUCAAAUAAAAUUUUUAAUUAUAUAAUUAAAAAUAGAAUAUUGAAUUAUCCAAAAUCUAAAAAUAUAAUUAAAAAAAGAUAAUUUCUAUAUAUAUAUAUAUAUUGUAUUGUUAUCUGAAAAAGUAUUUUAGGAAAAAGUUAGAACAUAAAUUAUAUAGUUAAAUAUUAAUAAAAUAAUAUUUUUAAUUACUAUUAUUUGGGAAGUAAAUUUUUGGAAUCGGGAUCUCAAGUUAAAAGUUAGAGUGAUUAAUAUCGUUUAUAUCCUUAAUGAAUAAAAUGUAUAACUAAAUUAAAAAAAUAAAAACGAAAUUUUAAUUUAUUUGAUUAGAUAAUUGAUUAAAAUUAAUAAUAGUAAACAAUUAUCCAAAAUCUAAAAAUAUAAUUUAAAAAGAGAUAAUUUUUGUAAAUAUUGUAUUGUUAUGUGAAAAAAAAAUAUUUUAAAAAGAGAUAUUUUAUGUAAAUAUUAUAUUGUUAUCUGAAAAAGUCUUUUAGUAAAAAGUUAAAAACAUGAAUUAUAUGACUAAAUAUUAAUCAAAUAAAAUUAUUAAUUAAAUAAUUAAAAAUAGAAUAUUGAAUAAUCCAAAAUCUAAAUAUAUAUUUAAAAAAAAAGAUAAUUUCUAUAUAUAUAUUGUAUUGUUAUCUAUAAUCAUGAAAAUAGAUCAUGUUAGAUCUAUGUCAGUGUACCUACCGAUCCUAAAUACUAUGACCUAGCUGAAUUGUGGAGGCAAGUAAGACUUUGGAGGUCUGAAAAUAGCAAGCAUCCAUGGUACGAUGCACCUGCUAAGGUGAAGGUAAUAGCAAAGAAUCAAACAUAAUCUCAAUACUCUUGGAUAUAUAAUUUUUGUUUAUUUUAUAGGAAAUGCUAGAACUUAGGAAAAAAUAAUUUUAAAACGUCUUUACAUAUUUUUUGUGAAGAUGAAAACAAGAAAGGGUCUUUGCCAUUUAAACAUAGACUUCACAUUGGGAUGGCCUCCUCAAGCAGUCUACGAGAUGUUCACUAAUCCAAGAAACCUGAAUUUCUUCCAUUCAAUGGCAAGUACCUAUGGCGCACACGUUUGGUUUGUUUUAUUCACUAGUUGUAUGAUUCGAAUUUAAGAAUCAAUUGAUAGUAAUUGAGAAUGUGGUCUUUUUAAUUCUUUUGAAGGACACAAUAGCAACAAUGGUUUUAAAGAAGGAUGGACCAAGGCAGAUCACGGACGUGGAAAAAGUUUUGAGAUGGAAGAUACUUGGGUAUAAUGGGACUAUCCCAAUACAUGUAAUAAUCGAUGAAAAACAUCAAAAAGUUACAGUAAGAAAGCUUCUCUAUUUUCCUCACAAGAACCUUUGUAUUUCGUUCAUUUUUGGGUGCACUAAUUUGUGUUCUUGCUAUAGGCAGCAUAUAAGAAAGUGAAAGUGAAGUACAUGAAAGUUUUUGAGGGUAGCUGGAAAAUGGAGUCAUUGUACGUAGAUCAGCAACGGUUGUGCAAGUCUAGGUCGCGGAUUAGUGAAGAAGAGUACAAAAAAUGUAGCGGCGGUAAAGGAAGGAUUGGGUCAAAGGUGACAAUGGAGCAUAUAUUUCAACCCUCUUCUCUUCUUAAUGUGCCACCAGUUUCUUGGUUCAUCCGUGGUAUCGCCGUCAAAGUCACCAAGGCUCUGCUCCAAGAUCUUAGAGAAUAUGUAAUCAGGAUGAACAAAAUGAAGGGUGCUGGCGAAAAAUAAACAAAAAGAAUCAAAGUAUUAAAUGUUUGGAUUAUAGUCAAUGAGGAUCAACAUCUAGUCAUCCACGUCACUAGAGAUAAUCGACCAAUUAGAAUACAAUUUAUGAAAAAUGUCAUUUUCUAAUUAAUUAGAAAGUAAUUCAUUAGUUUAAUAUUUAUUCUUUUCCUAAGUCGUACACUACAUCAUGCCUUUUUCAAGACUGUAAGUCUAUAACCUCUGGAUGACGAUUCACUCUCAUAUUCUCCUUCAUCAGUGUAUAUAUAUAUAGGGCUCUCCCAACUUACCCGUCAAUAUCUUCAUCCCUCCCAUUCCACAAAUACUUGCGCAAGAAUGGUUCUCUGGAUCCUUAUAUUUUCCCUAGCGUUUAUAUGUCUAGUUAAACACAUAUCAAUAACUAUUUGAAUCCCAAAUUACACAAAGGUACGAGAUAAGAUAACUAUUUGAAUUCCUAGUAACGUUAAAACUGGUGAGGGAGAGUUUCUGGAUAGACGUAGCUUCUUGGAUGGUUUCGGGAAGUUCCCAAUGAGAGAACGGAUUGUUCUCGCGAACAGUGUCGAUGAGAAUUUGGUGAUGAUUCAGCGCGACCGAGUGAGACCAGAGAGAUCAGGAAGAGCCGUGAGGUUGUGAAGAUCGACAGAAAUAUUUCCACGAAUCCCUUUGGUUUUUUUCAGUUGGUUAGCUACAUCUAUGAGUUUAAAGAUUCCGUGACAGGCAUCAUUCUACAAUUUAUUGAACAUUUUGGUCUCCUCUUUCAUCAGGAAGAUCUUUGCGUAUACGUAUACGUCAUAUAAUUCACGAGAACUGAGCUGCCCACUUCAUUGUAUCACCAGACGAAGAACUUAACGUACACAAUUUCUCAGGAUGCAGAUACUUUAACUAACAUUCCACAAACCAUAAUAUAUACAAUCUUAAUAUCGUCAUUUACUCCUGCCCUCAUCAGAUAAGCAUUAGUUUUUGUAGACUAGCUUUCUAAUAGAAAAUGGUAUUCCCUGGAUUUGGUGGCUGGAUCAAUCAGAAUAUUCAACAGCCCCUUAAGGUCAGUUCAUUUCCACCAAUCAAAAGACCCUUGGAAGUCUAAUAUAUCCGUUAAUUAACUGCAAAGAUCAGAUCAUGAUUACGUUUGUUGUUGUAGACGUCCAAGAGAUCUAAGAAUGGUAAAUCUAGAUCAGCUUCAGAAGAAGAAGACGAUAGGUAUCUUCAGGGACCAUGGUAUUGGGUUCCUGAUUUAAGCCCUAAAGAAAAGGUAACUAAUAGCAAUUCAGCAAUCAAAUAUCAAAUACUUGUGUUGGUGGUUAAUUAUGUAAAUGAGAUAACGAUUCGUCUUUUUUAUUUCUUUUGUAGGCCCAAUCCUUGGAAUUAGACCAUGUUAAAUCUAUGCCACUGAUGGCUAUCGAUCCAAUCAGAAUACAAAUUAAGUAAAUGUUAUUUUCUAUUUAAAUAAUAAACUAUUUAUUAGUUUAAUAUCUAUUGUUCUCCUAGGUCUUUCUAAUCUAUAUCCCUAAUGCUUUCUUCAAAACUGUAACCCAUGGAUGAAGAUUCACCCUUCAGAUUCGGGAAUUGCCAGAAUUUAGGAAAAUUGGUCUUGAAACGUCUUUCACUCUUUUUCUUUUUGAAGGUGAAAACAAGAAAGGGUAUUUGCCAUUUAAACAUAGAUUUCACAUUGGGAUCUCCUCCUCAAUAUUUCUCUCUCUAUAUAUAGUACUCUCCCAACUAACACGCCACUAUCUUUAUCACUCCCGUUGCACAAGUACCUGCACAAGAAUGGUUCUUAAAGGCUUUAAAUCCAUCGUAACCCCUCCUAGCGUCUUCUUGGACGACUUGGUUCCCGGUUUUCAAGAUCGACGACAAGGUAAGGCAUGAUACUCUGAAUCCCUUAUAUGUCUAAUCACUACAGCAUGAGAUUUUUUUCUAAGGCUGUUACUGCGUCAAGGGAAAAGGGAUUACUCAAGAGAUUCUUCUACACAAAUAAAAGAAUGGAAAACUCUUCUUCGGGCACCAUCAAGCAAUAGAAAAAAGAAAAAGAAAAAGAAGCUAAACUAAAAGAAUCGGAGUAUUAAAUGUUUGGAGUAUCUCCAAUGAGGAUCAAUAUCUAGCCAUCCACCUCACUAAAAAUAAUCGACCAAUCAGAAUACAAAUUAAGUAAAUGUUAUUUUCUAUUUAAAUAAUAAACUAUUUAUUAGUUUAAUAUCUAUUGUUCUCCUAGGUCUUUCUAAUCUAUAUCCCUAAUGCUUUCUUCAAAACUGUAACCCAUGGAUGAAGAUUCACCCUUCAGAUUCUCCUUCUCCUUCAUUUCUCUCUCUAUAUAUAGUACUCUCCCAACUAACACGCCACUAUCUUUAUCACUCCCGUUGCACAAGUACCUGCACAAGAAUGGUUCUUAAAGGCUUUAAAUCCAUCGUAACCCCUCCUAGCGUCUUCUUGGACGACUUGGUUCCCGGUUUUCAAGAUCGACGACAAGGUAAGGCAUGAUACUCUGAAUC